GUCCGCAAAUCUGAGCAUCUGUCCUCCCGGCCGGCCGAUCCCUUGCCCACCCGACCCCUGGAAAUCGGAACCGCAGCGUCACCAUCUCACAAUUCCCGGCGUCGACGCGGUGGGACUCUUAGUUCCUGGUCGUGGAUCGUAGAGAGUGGACAGGAAGCCAAAUUUCCUAUUUGCUCCUGGGAAGACUUUUCUGUGACUACCUCCUCUGCCCUGUCUGGCUCCUCCCUCGCAGUCCAGCUCGAACCCAGCCGAAGUAUCUUCAGAGAGCCUUCUGUGAUGUUCUCAGCUUAGGGCCAUCCCUCCCUCAUUUCAUCCUCUGAAUCCGGCAAACGCCUAGCAACUCUCCUAGGAAAUGUGCCUCCUAAGGCUGAAUGCAAAUGUGAAAAAAUAAUAGUGUGCAACGAUUAAGGAAUCCACACACCUUCUCUCAAGCCAGACCUAGUCAUUUCUGACAAAUGUGAUGAGAAUACAACCAUCACCACCAAAAAAACCCACAGAUACUCCGCUGAAAAGUCUCACUUUCUCCAGCUGCUGUCUCCAGGGCCACCUGAGAGUGGAAUGGAAAGGGAUUGAUCCAAUGGUGCUCAGAUGGGUGGGCUUCAGAACCACCUGGAAGGCUUGCUAAAACAGGUUUCUGGGCCCCACCCCAGAGUUUCUGAGCCACUAAGCCUUAUAGCAAUCAUUUCAAACUCAAAGGCUAACACGGGCCAAAUAAAUGAGGCCUGCGGGCCGCGAGUUUGACAUGCUUGCCUUAGAGUAUGCAUUUCUGACAAAUUCCCAGACGAUGCUGAUGCUGCUGGCCCAGGAACCACACUGUGAAAACCCCUGGCCUGAAUGAACUUGAAGCACAGCAGACAGAGGUCAAAGCUGUGUACCCUUGAAAGAAAGCAUUGGGCUCUCACCCCAACCCAGCUCAGGUGAGAGGUAGGGUGAGGCAAACACCAACCUGGGCUGGAAGGCUGUGUGUCCCUAGAUAAUAAACGAACAGACUCCAGGGGUAUAUAAACUUCAAUUCAUCUCUGGGGCA